CCAGACUCCUACGGGAGGCAGCAGUGAGGAAUAUUGGUCAAUGGGCGCAAGCCUGAACCAGCCAAGUCGCGUGAGGGAAGACGGCCCUACGGGUUGUAAACCUCUUUUGCCGGGGAGCAAGCCUGAGCACGUGUGCCCAGGCGGAGAGUACCCGGAGAAAAAGCAUCGGCUAACUCCGUGCCAGCAGCCGCGGUAAUACGGAGGAUGCGAGCGUUAUCCGGAUUUAUUGGGUUUAAAGGGUGCGUAGGCGGGCUGUUAAGUCAGCGGUAAAAGCCCGGGGCUCAACCCCGUACUGCCGUUGAAACUGCAUCCCUUGAGUGCGCGAGAAGUAUGCGGAAUGCGUGGUGUAGCGGUGAAAUGCAUAGAUAUCACGCAGAACUCCGAUUGCGAAGGCAGCAUACCGGCGCGCAACUGACGCUCAUGCACGAAAGCGUGGGUAUCGAACAGGAUUAGAUACCCCAGUAUU
rnacentral:rRNA from 1 species